rnacentral:rRNA from 1 species
UACAGAGGUCUCAAGCGUUGUUCGGAUUCAUUGGGCGUAAAGGGUGUGUAGGUGGCGCGCUAAGUCGGGUGUGAAAUUUCGGAGCUUAACUCCGAAACUGCAUUCGAUACUGCGUGCUUGAGGACUGGAGAGGAGACUGGAAUUAUGGUGUAGCGGUGAAAUGCGUAGAUAUUCGCAAGAACACCAGUGGCGAAGGCGGCUCACUGGCCCGGUACUGACGCUGAGGUGCGAAAGCGUGGGGAGCAAACAGG